CUCAUUUAUCCGCCUUCCAAAAUACUCGAAAUAGGGAUAGGAACUGUUUUACACAGGUAAAGUAUAUGUACAAUUUUUUCAAAUGAUAU